rnacentral:rRNA from 1 species
UACGUAGGGGGCGAGCGUUGUCCGGAAUCAUUGGGCGUAAAGCGCGUGUAGGCGGCUCGGUAAGUCCGGUGUGAAACCUUGGGGCUCAACCCCAAGCCUGCACUGGAUACUGUCGAGCUCGAGUCCGGGAGGGGAGAGCGGAAUUCCCAGUGUAGAGGUGAAAUUCGUAGAUAUUGGGAAGAACACCGGUGGCGAAGGCGGCUCACUGGCUCAUUACUGACGCUCAUGCGCGACAGCGUGGGGAUCAAACAGG